UACGGAGGGUGCAAGCGUUGCUCGGAAUUACUGGGCGUAAAGCGCACGUAGGCGGCUUUGCAAGUCCCAUGUGAAAUCCCACGGCUCAACCGUGGAAGUGCAUGGGAAACUGCAGAGCUUGAGUACUUAAGAGGAUCGCGGAAUUCCCGGUGUAGAGGUGAAAUUCGUAGAUAUCGGGAGGAACACCAGUGGCGAAGGCGGCGAUCUGGGAAGAUACUGACGCUGAGGUGCGAAAGCGUGGGGAGCAAACAGG
rnacentral:rRNA from 1 species